rnacentral:rRNA from 1 species
AGAGCGAACGCUGGCGGCAGGCUUAACACAUGCAAGUCGAGCGGGCGUAGCAAUACGUCAGCGGCAGACGGGUGAGUAACGCGUGGGAACAUACCUUUUGGUUCGGAACAACACAGGGAAACUUGUGCUAAUACCGGAUAAGCCCUUACGGGGAAAGAUUUAUCGCCGAAAGAUUGGCCCGCGUCUGAUUAGCUAGUUGGUGAGGUAACGGCUCACCAAGGCGACGAUCAGUAGCUGGUCUGAGAGGAUGAUCAGCUACAUUGGGACUGAGACACGGCCCAAACUCCUACGGGAGGCAGCAGUGGGGAAUAUUGGACAAUGGGCGCAAGCCUGAUCCAGCCAUGCCGCGUGAGUGAUGAAGGCCCUAGGGUUGUAAAGCUCUUUUGUGCGGGAAGAUAAUGACGGUACCGCAAGAAUAAGCCCCGGCUAACUUCGCGCCAGCAGCCGC